rnacentral:rRNA from 1 species
GUGAACCUGCGGAAGGAUCAUUGUCGUGAGCUUGAGCCACCGGUGAACUAAGUUCUGUCACUCCAGUUCGUGGGGGCGUGCCUCUGAGGACGGGAGCUCGUCUCGGUCGUCUUCCUUCGCAUGUUGAGGGUCGGCUGAGCGACGGCCCUGCCUCGGGGUGUGCGACUGCGCGAGCAGACACCUUUAGGGCGCGACUCGCGCCAAGGGCUUGUAGGGGAUUGAGCGGCAUCCUGUCUCGGUGGCCCACCUGCCCAAUGCGAUGGUUGCGGCUUGCCGGUGGGAUCGGACCCGCGUCUCUGGCUUUAAAGACGACUCUCGGCAACGGAUAUCUCGGCUCUCGCAUCGAUGAAGGACGUAGCGAAAUGCGAUACUUGGUGUGAAUUGCAGAAUCCCGUGAACCAUCGAGUCUUUGAACGCAAGUUGCGCCUGAGGCCACUCGGCUGAGGGCACGUCUGCCUGGGCAUCACGUCACCCACAGCUCCCCUGUGCCUGUUCGUUUGGCGGAUCGGGAAGCGGAGAUUGGCCGUCCGUGCCUGGCUUGGCGUGGUUGGCCCAAAAAGCUGGUCACAGUGCGACACGGCACGACGUGUGUUGGUUGAGUUGCUACUCGUCGGAGCUUUGAGCGUCGCGCCGGUUGUCCCGUAGCACUUGCCCACUCGUGGGGACCCAUCUUGCCCGCUUCGGCGGGUGCUCGAACUGCGACCCCAGGUCAGGCGGGGCCACCCGCU